rnacentral:sRNA from 1 species
GGAAAAUGUAGGGGAGAGCUCCAUCUGUCUUUUGCAUACAUAUAUAAGGGAUAUAUAUCCACACAUAUAUUUAUAUAUAUAUAUAUAUAUAUAUAUAUAUAUAUAUAUGUGUGUGUGUGUGUGUGUGUGUGUGUGUGUGUAUACACACACACACUCCUUUCA